rnacentral:rRNA from 1 species
GGGAGGUAGUGACAAUAAAUAACAAUACGGGGUUCUUUCGGAUUUCGUAAUUGGAAUGAGUACAAUUUAAAUCUCUUAACGAGGAACAAUUGGAGGGCAAGUCUGGUGCCAGCAGCCGCGGUAAUUCCAGCUCCAAUAGCGUAUAUUAAAGUUGUUGCAGUUAAAAAGCUCGUAGUUGAACCUUAGGCCCGUGCGGGCGGUCCGUCCUCUGGGCGAGCACUGCUCCGUCGCGGGUCUCACCUUCUGGCGAGCGUGGAUGCCAUUUAUUUGGUGUCCGCGGGAACCAGGACCUUUACCUUGAAAAAAUUAGAGUGCUCAAAGCGGGCUCCGACGCUUGAAUACAUUAGCAUGGAAUAAUGAAAUAGGACGAUGGUUCUAUUUUGUUGGUUUCCGGGACGGUCGUAAUGAUUAAUAGGGAUAGUUGGG